rnacentral:rRNA from 1 species
GGCUAACGCUGGCGGCGUGUCUUAGCCAUGCAAGUCGAGCGGACUUAUGGGGUAACUUAUAAGUCAGCGGCGGACGGCGGAGUAACACGUAGCUAACCUACCCUCUGGACGGGGAUAACCUACCGAAAAGGUGGGCUAAUACCCGAUGUAGUCAUCCUGUAUAGGGGUGAUGAAAGGUGGGCUUCUGUUUACAAGCUCAUGCUGGAGGAGGGGGCUGCGGCCUAUCAGGUAGUUGGUAGGGUAAUAGCCUACCAAGCCGAUGACGGGUAGCCGGCCUGAGAGGGUGGACGGCCACACUGGGACUGAGACACGGCCCAGACUCCUACGGGAGGCAGCAGUAGGGAAUUUUCCGCAAUGGACGGAAGUCUGACGGAGCGACGCCGCGUGAGGGAUGACGGCCUUCGGGUUGUAAACCUCUUUCACCCAUGACGAAGCGCAAGUGACGGUAGUGGGAGAAGAAGCACCGGCCAACUACGUG